GUCGAACGAUGAUGCCCAGCUUGCUGGGUGGAUUAGUGGCGAACGGGUGAGUAACACGUGAGUAACCUGCCCCUGACUCUGGGAUAAGCGUUGGAAACGACGUCUAAUACUGGAUAUGAUCACUGGCCGCAUGGUCUGGUGGUGGAAAGAUUUUUUGGUUGGGGAUGGACUCGCGGCCUAUCAGCUUGUUGGUGAGGUAAUGGCUCACCAAGGCGACGACGGGUAGCCGGCCUGAGAGGGUGACCGGCCACACUGGGACUGAGACACGGCCCAGACUCCUACGGGAGGCAGCAGUGGGGAAUAUUGCACAAUGGGCGAAAGCCUGAUGCAGCAACGCCGCGUGAGGGAUGACGGCCUUCGGGUUGUAAACCUCUUUUAGUAGGGAAGAAGCGAAAGUGACGGUACCUGCAGAAAAAGCACCGGCUAACUACGUGCCAGCAGCCGCGGUAAUACGUAGGGUGCAAGCGUUGUCCGGAAUUAUUGGGCGUAAAGAGCUCGUAGGCGGUUUGUCGCGUCUGCUGUGAAAUCCCGAGGCUCAACCUCGGGCUUGCAGUGGGUACGGGCAGACUAGAGUGCGGUAGGGGAGAUUGGAAUUCCUGGUGUAGCGGUGGAAUGCGCAGAUAUCAGGAGGAACACCGAUGGCGAAGGCAGAUCUCUGGGCCGUAACUGACGCUGAGGAGCGAAAGCAUGGGGAGCGAACAGGAUUAGAUACCCUGGUAGUCCAUGCCGUAAACGUUGGGCGCUAGAUGUAGGGACCUUUCCACGGUUUCUGUGUCGUAGCUAACGCAUUAAGCGCCCCGCCUGGGGAGUACGGCCGCAAGGCUAAAACUCAAAGGAAUUGACGGGGGCCCGCACAAGCGGCGGAGCAUGCGGAUUAAUUCGAUGCAACGCGAAGAACCUUACCAAGGCUUGACAUACACCGGAAACGGCCAGAGAUGGUCGCCCCCUUGUGGUCGGUGUACAGGUGGUGCAUGGUUGUCGUCAGCUCGUGUCGUGAGAUGUUGGGUUAAGUCCCGCAACGAGCGCAACCCUCGUUCUAUGUUGCCAGCGGGUUAUGCCGGGGACUCAUAGGAGACUGCCGGGGUCAACUCGGAGGAAGGUGGGGAUGACGUCAAAUCAUCAUGCCCCUUAUGUCUUGGGCUUCACGCAUGCUACAAUGGCCGGUACAAAGGGCUGCGAUACCGUAAGGUGGAGCGAAUCCCAAAAAGCCGGUCUCAGUUCGGAUUGAGGUCUGCAACUCGACCUCAUGAAGUCGGAGUCGCUAGUAAUCGCAGAUCAGCAACGCUGCGGUGAAUACGUUCCCGGGCCUUGUACACACCGCCCGUCAAGUCAUGAAAGUCGGUAACACCCGAAGCCGGUGGCCUAACCCUUGGGAAGGAGCCGUC
rnacentral:rRNA from 1 species